GCGUGGGGAGCGAACGGGAUUAGAUACCCCGGUAGUCCACGCCGUAAACUAUGGAUGCUAGCUGUUAUCAGUAUCGACCCUGGUAGUAGCGAAGCUAACGCGUUAAGCAUCCCGCCUGUGGAGUACGGUCGCAAGACUAAAACAUAAAGGAAUUGACGGGGACCCGCACAAGCGGUGGAGCGUGUUGUUUAAUCCGACGGUAAGCGUAGAACCUUACCAGGGUUUGACAUCUCGGGAAGGUUUGUGAAAGCAGACUGUGCCUUUUGGAACCCGAUGACAGAUGAUGCAUGGCCGUCGUCAGCUCGUGUCGUGAGAUGUUUGGUUAAGUCCAUCAACGAGCGCAACCCUUAUAGUCAGUUGAAUUGUCUGGCUAGACUGCCCCGGUAACGGGGAGGAAGGAGGGGAUGAUGUCAGGUCGUCAUUUCUCUUACACCCUGGGCUACAAACACGCUACAAUGGCCGGUACAAAGGGCAGCUAAGUCGCGAGACGGAGCAAAUCCCAUCAAAGCCGGUCUCAGUUCGGAUUGCAGGCUGAAACUCGCCUGCAUGAAGCUGGAAUCGCUAGUAACGGUAGGUCAGCACACUACCGUGAAUACGUUCCCGGGUCUUGUACACACCGCCCGUCAAACCAUGAAAGUCGCCAAUACCUG
rnacentral:rRNA from 1 species